GGUCCGCUCUGUUUGCUGCUUGUUACAGAACACUAUCUUGUAUAAUCAGUUUCGUUUUGAUUGUAGCGUUUAUCAGAAUGUUUCUUUUCCUGAUUUAUAUUCCAUCCUUGACAUGUAUGCGAAGACUGCGACCUGUCCAUGAGGAUUACCGUUUCUGUGCUCCGGGUGGUUUCUUCUCGCCCCGUCACACCAACCCAUUCCGUGUUCCAGUAGAGUUUUGUUCAACAAAGUCUGCUACAAAGGUGUUAGUCCCUCCAUAGGAUAAGAAGGAGGCUUGUGCUCCUGAAAAUUAUGAAAGAAGACUAAAAAUGUAAAAAUAUGCAAUCCACAUUAAUUCUGCAGAAAUCAGAUAAAUUCACAUUAUUUCAACAAUGGCUUCACCGAGAGGACACCGUCGGCGCAGAAGCAUGGAGGAACCAGUUUUCAUGUCAGCUGAUAUUAUUAAUCGCGAAGAGGAAUUGAAUAGAACUCAAAAGGACAUUUUCCCAGAAUGCAGCAAGCAUUUGGAGAAAAUUCGUGAUCUUACCAAUGAGUUUGCAAAUGAUCAUGGUCUUGGUAUUUAUGCAUGCAGAGGAGGACAAAUAGCUGGAGGAAUCGCGAUCAUAUUGUCUGCAUUAGCUUUAUUUUUUAUUGAAGAAGAGGUUUUUGAAAUUGUUGCUGCAGCAGGGGCAGCGGCUGUAGUUUCUCUAUUAUGUGCUGCUUUUGGACGAAACAGGAAAACACAUCAGAAGAAAAACUUAAAACAAUCUAUUGAAGAGGAAUCUAAGGGAUUUCAGGAUAAAAUGAACCAUUUUAUUGACAUCUUGGAAAAAAAUGGUCAACGCACUGAGGAAAUAUUGAGAGACGCUUUACUCUCAGACCACAAUGUCCAGGCAUUAAGUGAACACUUGUCCUACUGCUUUGAAAAAGGGCAACUAUUUCAGGAACAGGACAGGAGUAAAGCUGGUGACCAGAUGUCUAAAAUUGUGCAUUUGUCUGAAAACAUUUCAGAAAUGAUCGUCAAGAUUAAUUCUGUGCCUGAUAUCCUCAAAGAGAUUAUCAAAGACAACGAGAGGCAACGUGCCAAACCUGCAAAACCCAGACAGGAACAAAUGAUUAAAAGAGAGUUUAAGGAGAAAGCAGAGAAAUUAAUGAAUGACAUGCAGAAAGGAAUAUGUAUCAUAAAAAAUAGAGUUAAAGAUAUCAACCGGUCAUUAGACAGAAUAUCAAAUAUUUUGAGUUGAACCUUUCAAAACAUAAAAGUAUUAGCUGCUGAGACAAAACCUCAGACAAACUUCCACCUGACAGAGAACAACACAAAUAGUGACCAACAUUACAUUGCCGCUUUGAAUAAUUUCAGUGUUUCAUUGUCCUACAACAAUUAUUGUUAGCACAGUCAAAAGUAUAUAUAUAUAUAUAUAUA